AUGGAACCUAUGAUACUCUCUGCCCACAGACUGAUACAGGCUGAGAAAAAAGUAUGAGUCCAUUUUAUGCAAACCUUUGUUAAACACCUACUCCGUUCUGAACUAUACAGAUACAGAAAGAAAUAAGACGUGAUGCUCAGUCUCAGGAAGUCUGUGGCCUAUAAAGGGGUGGAAUGCAAGAGGAUUCUAUGGAUGCAAGUGCACUACUGUAUUUACCAGCACUGAGUUACAGGACGGUGAGAGCAGAUGGAUAAAUUGACACCACACAGCCACAGCAUGGGCUACAAAAUAAUCAUCCGGUGAAAGUGGCUGCAAAGACCACUACCCCCUAUGCUGGGUACUCAGACCUGGCACAGAGCAGGAAAAAGAAAGAAAA